rnacentral:lncRNA from 1 species
UUUUUUUUGGCAAUCCGCUAGGCAAGCGCCUAGGGCUAGUUUUUUAUUAAUAAAAGAAAAAAGAAAAAUACAACAAUUAGGAAAAUCACAAAUAAGGGGGACAAUAGCACCGAUAGUGUUAUCCAUAUGCCUUGGCUAUAUAAUCAAUCCUCUGCGCCUCACACUGCCUUAUGAUGACAGCCUCAUGUAGAGGAUUCAUGGUGUAGCUAUCGACAACACUCACGAGGGCAUAUAAUCUCAUAGCCGUGUGGAUAAUUUCCAAAAGCAUAAGACUAAGGCAACACAACUCGGGCUAAACCUUACCUUACUAAUCCUAUUGAGGCAAAGAAAAGGCCUCACCUACUAGCAAGCAUGUAAAAAAUAAGAACUUGAACGGACCAAAUAUUCAAUGAUCAUCACAGAGUUUAUAACAUACUCUGUGAUGAUAUUACAAAUGAGAAUACUAAGAAAGUGGUAAAAUAGAAUGUAAUACCAAUUUGAUUCUUGUCCCUUCUUUUCCAAACUUGUAAAAUAUUCAAUUUGUAAUUCUUUGUUGUUUUCCUCAACCGUGUUCAAAACGUAAUCAAAAAUCAUCAUUUCUUUUUUGAACGGUUGGACCUCGUUGACGUAGUUGUGGCAUCCUUCUUUUGUUUGGCAACUCUCAUUGGAGGUCGCCUAACAUUUAGAAAAUCACUAACCUUGUCGUCCCAACUAUAUUUCCUUGUAUGUGCUUUCUUUAUUUUGUCGCUAUGCAUAGGUGAUAAAUCGCCUUGUUUUGCUGCAUGUGAACGGCAUUCUUUCAAAACAGCAUCUUCUUCUCCUUCCUCAUACAUAUUUCUACCCACAUUCACAGGAUGCGGAUAGUUGUCGACGAGGUCCUGUGUCAUCAAUGCAUUUCCUUGUUGUGUAUUUGCCAAAGUUGUCGUGUUGUGAUGUUGCUUUAUGACUUGCAUUUUAUGUGUUUACUCACAUUUCCUGUACUAACAAUUUGCAUUGAACUUACUGAGUUUCGAUGUGUAGAGUCUGCCAAUGCAUCAAGCAGUUUUCUAUUUUCCUCAGAAAUCAUACGAGUACUGGAAUCCUGUUGUUUCUGUCCAGCAUUUGAGUUCAUUAUUGCAGUACUUGGUGUGCUUUCAAGUUGUUGUUGUUGUCCAGUCAUAUUGCUUACAGUAAUGUCCUAUUGUUGUCUUGAAUUUGAUGAAAGGACUGUUUCUCUUGAUGUGUUCUCUAUUUGCUGCUGUUGUUGGAGCCCUUAAUAUCCUCAAAUUUUCCAACUUAGAGGAUUCUUCAUUGAUCUGCUUUCCCCAAAAAUAAUAAUUCUUAGUAAACUCUACAUGCCUUAAUUUUUUCAUUUUCCAAAAAUUCGUUGAUAACUGCGUAGCCAUAAAACAAAUGAGAAUUAAUGUUUCUAGAUGGGGCAAAUGUGAUAUUCCAUGAAAAUCGAAUUUAUCUAUGAAAAGUGAGACGUACUUGAGGUGAAUUAGUGGUUGCAACGUAGCAAACGACAAACGACCCAAUUUAUGGGAACUCAAAUCCAAGACCUUAAGAAGCCUCAUCAAAUUAAUAACCUGGCUGAAGGGAUUCCAAUAUAAAGAUUCUCCUCUAUUGGUGGUUAUCAGUGACCUUAAGUGUUGGUGGAAAGGUUUCCGCGUUUUGGAUGCAAACAUGGAAAGCUCAUUACUGAAACUGAACCUCACUCGACUUUCCUUCAAAUCGGAAGGUUGAAUGUUCCCCCUCACUACCAACAUAAACUUUUUUUCUCUACUCAUCUCCAAGCAAAAGUGAAGCACUACAUCAUGAACCCGACAAUAUUUGACUUUACCGUUAUAUCUUCUCCUUGAUACCAUUACCACGUUACUGCUAAUGAGAUCCAUCAAGUAACCUUCAGCUGUCUCUUUCAUUAAUCUCCCAGAUUCAAUGUUCUGCACGAAGCCUUCCGCUAUCCAUAAACUUAUCAAUUUAGACACUGGGUAACAAUUCUGGUUCUAUUUACAACAUCAGGGAAACAAAGUCUUAAGUCAUCCCAUGCCAUAAAAUCCCACAUAUCAUCCAAGACAAUGAGAUAUCUCUUU